CCUACGGGUGGCAGCAGUGAGGAAUAUUGGUCAAUGGACGAGAGUCUGAACCAGCCAAGUAGCGUGAAGGAUGACUGCCCUAUGGGUUGUAAACUUCUUUUAUACGGGAAUAAAGUUGGGCACGUGUGCCUUUUUGUAUGUACCGUAUGAAUAAGGAUCGGCUAACUCCGUGCCAGCAGCCGCGGUAAUACGGAGGAUCCGAGCGUUAUCCGGAUUUAUUGGGUUUAAAGGGAGCGUAGGCGGAUGCUUAAGUCAGUUGUGAAAGUUUGCGGCUCAACCGUAAAAUUGCAGUUGAUGCUGGGUGUCUUGAGUACAGUAGAGGCAGGCGGAAUUCGUGGUGUAGCGGUGAAAUGCUUAGAUAUCACGAAGAACUCCGAUUGCGAAGGCAGCUUGCUGGACUGUAACUGACGCUGAUGCUCGAAAGUGUGGGUAUCAAACAGGAUUAGAUACCCCGGUAGUC
rnacentral:rRNA from 1 species